GGUUCGAUGGUGUAGUUGGUUAUCACGUUCGCCUCACAGUCUCGUCUCUGUUGUACGCGCGAAAGGUCGCGAGUUCGAGCCUCGCUUGAAUCA